rnacentral:lncRNA from 1 species
GAAGAAGACGAGGACAGGGGUAGCAGGCAAAGGACACGAAUGUGAUUCUCUAGGCACAGCUUCAGUAACAUGCUUGGUGUCGAUGAUGUUGUACUUUAGAUAAUUUUGCCUGUCUUUCUCGUGAUGACCGCAACUCUCUUCUAUGUGAUGGUAGUUUAGAUGGUCGAUAUCGACUUGUAAUGUGAAGACAAACUCGCUACUCGCGGUCUCGAGACUUGCAAUGUUCUAACUUUGUUCGGUAUUUUAAAUUCGGAGACUAAUAUGAUGAAUUGUAUUCGGAGA